UCCCUGGUGGCUCAGAGGGUAAAGCGUCUGCCCGCAAUGCAGGAAACCCAGGUUCGAUUACUGGGUUGGGAA
rfam:TPA: Bos taurus chromosome 3, whole genome shotgun sequence.